GUAAUUAAGAUUAACUAAUGCCCUUGAUAGCAAAUACACAUAUUUUGUUAGUCUUUAGGGCUAGGGUUUUGUUAACUGCUCGCUCUAUAAAUAUAUAUCGUCGCCGCCAUGUUUACUUCAGUUCGCUAUGCGUCCGUACAUGCCCACCGAAGGUGGAUGAUAUAAAUCGGCGGCUCGUUCGCGUAGUUGAUGUUUCAAUCUGCCGAUGUGGUUUCUUCUGAUUGCUGCUGUGAUGGCUCCAUACGAGUCAGCAGCAGGUGCCAGUUACGAUGGCAACCUGACUGCCGCUUGGAGCCUAUAUGAAAUUGGCCGGUUUGAAGACCCAUGGAAUUUCUUGCAUUAUUUCAUGAUACAAAAAACUGUCCACAUUUAGAUAUGCUUUAAAACUUAUAUUGCCUGCGGUGAUGAUUUUGUAUGUCGAAGGAAUUGUGAGAGUUGGAUUGAUGGAAUGUAGUCGCAGUGAUGAGCAGCUAACAUGUAAGAAGAGCCAACUCUGUGUUGGUUCCUCGAUGAAAUCCUCUUGUUACGCUUGGCUUCUGAGCUUCCUACUUCUCCCUUCAUUACACCAAUUCUUCAUCUUCAAUGGAAAUAUGUUUCUUUUGUUUUGUUAA